CAGGAAGGAGGCUUGGAGAAUGUUCAGCGUCAGUUAUGGGGCAGCCAGCAGAGGAAGCAGGACCCAGUGGACUUGGGACUUCCUGGAUCUCCUUCUGUCCAAGGAUUUAUGGAAGGGUGAUGGUCCUCUUGGUAGUAUGAAUAGAUAUAUCAUUUCUAAAAUACCGAGACUGGAGGAGCAACACACAACUUGCAGAAUUCUGGAAGUUAACCAAAGUCUGGUAGCAGUCCCUGAGGAAGUUAUUCAAGAAAAAUGGCUAAAUCUCGAUUGGUCAGUUGAGGUACAGAGCAGCCAAGUCACCUACUCAAGAGGUACAAUGAGCCAGAAGUUAAACUCCUUCCCUGCAGCUCCAGAGUCCAGGCUCUUUGUCACUGCACCACGUUGCCUCUCAGAAAAAUGGAAUAUGGAGAAAACUUCCAGUUCUUCCGUUGUCCUCCCAGAAGAUGAAAACUUCCUUUCCUGUGCCUGCUCACUCAUGGCUCCGAUGGUACUUUAUUGGAAAUCUCGGCUCACGGGUCUACCUCCCGCUAAACUACUUUCCUGCAGGCAGAAAUGCAUCUUCCAUCUGUGCAACAGGAUUUGCCACAGGAAACUCCUGCCUGCGUCCUAACACCUGCCAUUCAUUAGACACCGAGUUAGUUCAGUGGAGCCGUUGCGGGGUCUGGAGUCUUUAGAUCGCCAGCACUGCAUUUCUGGGAGGCUGCUGUGUUUGGAAUUGUCUUGUCAUUCUGCUGGAACCCUCUAGCUUUUCCAGCUGUUCUGGAGAGUCACCGUUCAACAAUGCAACACUCCUGACCCCAGUCCCAGUGCAGACUUCAUGAUUCCU